rnacentral:rRNA from 1 species
GAUGAACGCUGGCGGCGUGCCUAUACAUGCAAGUCGAGCGAACGGACGAGAAGCUUGCUUCCCUGGUGUUAGCGGCGGGAGGGGUAGUAACACGUUGAUAACCUACCUAUAAGACUGGGAUAACUUCGGGAAACCGUAGCUAAUACCGGAUAAUAUUUUGAACCGCCUGGUUCAAAAGUGAAAGACGGUCUUGCUGUCACUUAUAGAUGGAACCGCGCUGCAUUAGCUAGUUGGUAAGGUAACGGCUUACCAAGGCAACGAUGCAUAGCCGACCUGAGAGGGUGAUCGGCCACACUGGAACUGAGACACGGUCCAGACUCCUACGGGAGGCAGCAGUAGGGAAUCUUCCGCAAUGGGCGAAAGCCUGACGGAGCAACGCCGCGUGAGUGAUGAAGGUCUUCGGAUCGUAAAACUCUGUUAUUAGGGAAGAACAUAUGUGUAAGUAACUGUGCACAUCUUGACGGUACCUAAUCAGAAAGCCACGGCUAACUACGUG